CCCGAAUGCAGGCAGCUGUACAUUGUCAUUGAGCAUCUGGAACGCUUCUCGGAUACGUGAUCCCACAAACUCCGGGAGAAACUGUACCACUGCCUGCUCUGCUCACAGACUAGCUCUGUUUGAGAGAAAGAUACUACCGACUGCAGGGAGCAUUCGCUCCCUAAAAGCCAGGAUGAGCAUUCAUUGUGGUUCGCACAGGAACUCCCGAAAGGAGAAAGGCCGCUGCCUCUUUUGCCCUGGAACUGUUU